UACGUAGGAGGCAAGCGUUGUCCGGAAUUACUGGGCGUAAAGCGCGUGUAGGUGGUGGGACAAGUCUGCUGUGAAAGCGCCUGGCUUAACCGGGCGAGGUCGGCGGAAACUGUUCGACUCGAGGACGGUAGAGGGGGGUGGAAUUCCCGGUGUAGUGGUGAAAUGCGUAGAUAUCGGGAAGAACACCAGUGGCGAAAGCGCUCUACUGGGCCAUAACUGACACUGAGGGACGAAAGCUAGGGGAGCGAAAGGG
rnacentral:rRNA from 1 species